UCCGUAGGCGGGCUAAUAAGUCAGUGGUGAAAUCCCAGAGCUCAACUCUGGAACUGCCAUUGAUACUGUUAGUCUUGAAUUUAGUUGAGGUGGGCGGAAUACGUUAUGUAGCGGUGAAAUGCAUAGAUAUAACGUAGAACACCGAUUGCGAAGGCAGCUCACUAAGCUAACAUUGACGCUGAUGGACGAAAGCGUGGGGAGCGAACAGGAUUAGAUACCCUGGUAGUCC
rnacentral:rRNA from 1 species